AUAUCUGAGUGGUGGAUCACCUGACUGGUGUGUCGAUGAAUGAAGGACUCAGCUAGCUGUGAGAAUUAAUGUAAAGGCAGGAUAUCUUGAUCACCAACACUUUAAAGACACUUGCAGCCCUGGCUUCUCCUAGGGAUUUUUUUUUUUAAAGGAUA
ensembl:rRNA 5_8S_rRNA 5.8S ribosomal RNA